rnacentral:lncRNA from 1 species
GAGCUAUCAGAAAUUGGCAUUAUAUGGCUAAUGAUCAUAUUAUAUAGAGUAGCAACAACACCACUUUAAUUACCAGCGUACAUAUAAUGAACAUGUGCCUAUAGUCAACAUGUAAUGUUGUACCUCAACCGGUCUAACUACAUAACUAGAUAUCCUUUAAGCAAGUCAGAGCAUGCUUUUCAAUCCAGGUGGAUAAACUAAACAACUUUUUAGAUAAAUCGCAAUCAAUAAAGGGAACUAAAGCUAAAAAGUAUAUAGUAGCAGUGACCUAGAGCCUAGAACAUUCGUUUUAUAAAGGUUGUCCACAACUAAAAGACCGUCAUAGAAAUACAGAGAGCAAAACCGCAGUUGAAUUGGUUGCUGGAAGGGUUGCUACGUUAUCCGACGGGGCCGCCUCACGGCGUACCCUUCCUCUACCGGUCACCGGAACAGCUCCAACUCCCUCUGCGUGCAAGAGCCCAUCACACACCAAGAAUCACCAAGAGGCCAACAAUGUUGCAUAAAAUAGGUAGACAUGGAUCAGAUACGCAAGAUCUACAUCACGAAGCAAGCAUAAGAGGAAGGAAAAAAGCUGACCUUGCCCGAAGGGAAGGGAGGACGCGCUGCCAUCGGCAUGAGUUGAAGGGAGAGCAGCCGAGCUUAUCUGGAAGUAGGUGGCAUCUGUCCGCCUCACACCAACAGGAAGAGAGAGCACCACAUUUAUAAAUCUAGCCUUUUCUUUUAGUUCCUCAUAAUUUGCUUUUGAUAAGGUCUCUUCUAUAUGUAAAGGAGAUGCUGACAAACAAUAUAGGUGCUUCACACAACUAAACUGCCAACGGAUGACUGAAUGAAUGUAGGUCUGAAAUCCAAGUUGAGUACCCCCAAGAAUUGAACGAUAAAGGAAUUAGCAUCCUCAUAAUUUGCUUUUGAUAAGGUCUCUUCUAUAUGUAAAGGAGAUGCUGACAAACAAUAUAGGUGCUUCACACAACUAAACUGCCAACAGAUGACUGACUGAAUGUAGGUCUGAAAUCCAAGCUGAGUACCCCCAAUAAUUGAGCGAUAAAGGAAUUAGCAUUGUAUAGAAACAAUUUGCAGGACAUGAUGGUUUCUGCAGCUCACAACCAUAUAUAACCGCAAACAAAGCUAAACUGCUGCUAAGAAGCUAGCAGGCAACUAAAGUCUGUGAAACUGAUGAACUACUAUUUGUUAGCCAAAGGAAAAAAAUUCCAAGAAAACCAAAGAACGACACAGGAGCCAUCAUGGCUAUACCAACAUCAUAUUAAGAAAUGCAAAGGAAUAGCUAAAGAACAAUUACUUCAAUAGCCCAGCUUAGCUUAUAUAAUGCACCACAUAUGUUGCAUGUUGACUGAAACCAAACUAUUUCCUAAAACUAUGUCUCAAGAAUAUCCUAUUUAAAAUUUAGAGGAAGUAAGAUGCCAAAGCAAGCAAAUUUAAUGUAUAUGGGAGGGCUUUCCACCUGGAUUUUAUUACCGUAUCAGGAAGUUCAUGUCUAGAGCUGCGGAGGCAAAAAGGUCCAGAGAAAUAAUGUUGCACAGAAGCAGCAUAGGCAAGCUUCCAUGGACUGCUCAGCAUUUCUAAUGUUCAGAAAUGAGAAGUCGAGAUAUGGAUUGAGCAUCAGUAUUAUUUCAACCUGCGUAAAAUCAAAUCAAAUGUAUGAGUACUAUUGCUUUUCAGAUUCAAAAUGAUCAAAAGUAAUGAAAUAACGCCAAAGUCAAUCGACAACAUGAUUUGGGACCAGAAAGCUAUUAAACCAUUUAUAGGAAAAGUGUCACAUAAUAUGUUACUAUGACAGGUUUAUUGAAGACAGAAUAAUCAUGAGCAAUCCAAAAUGAAGAAAGUAAUUUCUUACAUAAACAACAGCCAGCUGAGCUGCCGCCAAUUCAUGUUCCUGCAACCUGUAAUAACACACUCGGGUUAAUGGGAUAAGAACACGUAUUAUUUUUAGUGCAAACAAAACUGAUUACCCUUAAAGAUAAACCAGGUGUUGUAAUUGAAGUAACUGUAAGAAAAUAUCAUCACUGCGCUUUUGAACCUGCAGCUAACAAAAAAGAUAGAUCAGAAUGCCCGUUAAGAUACACUUGCCAGUCAAAAGUGACUAUAAGUUGGUUGAGGAAACAUGAGUAACACCCAUGUUGCAGAUUUAUAUGAACAGGAAAGGAUACCACAUAUGGCAACAUGACAGUCAUGUAGUUCUAAAUCAAGGGUUCAUUCAGGAAAGCAGACAACAUCAAAAGUGCUCAUUCAUAUGAACCAAAUAACGUAAUAUUUGCCAAGAACACAAGGGUGUAAAAUUAUAAUAACAGCAUGAAUCGCCGUCUCAAUCAAUAACUUAAGCUAGGAAAAAAGAGAGUAAAUCAUUCCCGCUGGUGUUUUAUUUCCAUUCACGAGUCAUUGUCAUCAAAUUAUCUUGUCUCUUCCUUUGUGUGAGAUUGCACCUACAUAUUCAUGUCAGAAUCAUACAUGAGAUUUUUUACUGACAUAAUUAAACAAAGAUCAUGCUUUGAAUAAAUCCUGACUGGACGCUAGCAUUUAUACCAUGGUUUGUAGCAC